CCUACGGGUGGCAGCAGUGGGGAAUAUUGGGCAAUGGGCGCAACCCUGACCCAGCAACGCCGCGUGAAGGAAGAAGGCUUUCGGGUUGUAAACUUCUUUUAAGGGGGAAGAGCAGAAGAAGGUUCCUCUUGUAUAAGGCACGGCGAACUAAGUGCCAGCAGCCGGGGUAAUACGUAGGUGGCAAGCGUUGUCCGGAUUUACUGGGGGGAAAGGGAGUGGAGGGGGGAUGACAAGUCAGAUGUGAAAUCCCGGGGCUCAACCGCGGCACUGCCUGUGAAACUGUUUUUCUUGAGUACCGGAGAGGUCAUCGGAAUUCCUGGUGUAGCGGUGAAAUGCGUAGAUAUAAGGAAGAACACCAGUGGCGAAGGCGGAUUACUGGACGGCAACUGACGGUGAGGCGCGAAAGCGUGGGGAGCAAACAGGAUUAGAUACCCUUGUAGUC
rnacentral:rRNA from 1 species